UUGACCUCGGAUCAGGUAGGAAUACCCGCUGAACUUAAGCAUAUCAAUAAGCGGGAA
rnacentral:rRNA from 1 species